rfam:Paenibacillus sp. Soil787 contig_28, whole genome shotgun sequence.
UAAAAAUGAAUAUGCAAACCGUAGACAGUAGGUGCCAACGUGCUUAAUUUCCUACCGAGGUGUUAUGAUAUAUAUAGCGAUUUCUUUGUACAUCAGGGAAAAAGUGAACACAUCAUGCCUUCGUAGCGUCUACGAAGGCAUUUCUUAUUUUAGAU